AUUUAAAUCAAAGAAGCAUUUUAAUUUGAAAUAAAGAUAAAUUUGAUCUAUGCAAUCAAACAGCAACGAAUGACCAAUUGUACACGGUGAAGCUGAGUGGUGCCACAAGCACCGUACAACGACGUGCAGGAGCGAACAGAGGACAUCACGAGUUCUUCCAUCACUCGCCGCAAGAUGCAGCACUGAACGGAUGUGAGGAGACAGCAUGCUGCCCGGCCGAGAAUGGUGCGUCCUGCUGGCGAUGGUGCUCUGUCUGCCCGGGAGCAGGGCAUCCUGCAACGCAUUGUUCGACAGAAAAAUACUCAAGCAAGUUGUCCAGGAGGCCAUCGCUGAGUCUCUCUCUCAGGCUGGCCUGACCGCAGGGGGCGGCUGCCCGCACGGCUUCGUGCCGUGCGCCGGCCGCUGCUACACUCGCCUGAAUGCGGCCGUAGACAACGACCGCGCCGUGCGACAGUGCGCCACGUUUGGCGCCCACCUGGCCGUGCCGCGCACCCACAACCAGAACCUGUGCGUGGCGGGGCUGGCCGGCCGCGAGCGCGUCUGGCUGGGCAUCACGGACCGCGAGGAGGAGGGGGUGUUCAAAGCUGCCGACGGGGGCGUGGUGACGGCCAGCGAAGCGCACUGGUCCAAAGGACAGCCGGACAAUUAUAAGAAAUCCGAGGAUUGUGUGGAGAUGUGGAACCCCGCCACUUCGCGAAAAAUUAAGUUUGGAGAGUGGAAUGACAUUCGGUGUAACUUUCACGCCUUCCCGAUGUGUCAGCUGGACUCGAGAAUUCAUACUCCCGCGAAAUAACGCUUUCGCUUAAAAAAUGCUAAAAAAAAAUAGGAUUAUGACCGCGUCAGCUUUGCCAAUCUGCCAGACACACUGGUUCGGACGAAUUGGAAACCAUUAAAUCCGACAUGCGUCGCUACUUUUUCCAUCAUUAAGAAACAGUGAGAUCUCGUUCAAUGACGGAUCGAAUUAACCGUUGACGUCAUGUUCGCUUGGAGGAGCCCAUUUCACACACACGACGAAGUUUUAGAAUGUCUCGUCGGUUUUCCGCUGGGAGCGCAACUUCACGUUCGGCCAACGGAGAGCACUCCAGCGCACAGAAGCAGUGCAUCGUGCGGAUCCAGUACCUUAUCGCUCAUCUGUCUGCUUUAUCACUGAAUUCCUGUUGUUGAACGUGACGUGUUACCGUCCAUUGUGCUCAAUGAGACGCAUGCUCUAAAAUAAUUGUCUUGACCACUGCAUUAUCGAACUGUAAUAAAUGGCGUCGAGUUGAAAAA